UACAGAGGGUGCGAGCGUUAAUCGGAAUUACUGGGCGUAAAGCGUGCGUAGACGGUUAUUUAAGUCGGGUGUGAAGCCCCGGGCUCAACCUGGGAAUUGCAUUCGAGACUGAAUAGCUAGGGUACGGUAGAGGGAAGCGGAAUUUCCGGUGUAGCGGUGAAAUGCGUAGAUAUCGGAAGGAACAUCAGUGGCGAAAGCGGCUUCCUGGACCAGUACCGACGUUCAGGCACGAAAGCGUGGGGAGCAAACAGG
rnacentral:rRNA from 1 species